GGGAACAUGGGGCUGUACGCUGCGGUGGCAGGCGUGCUGGCCGGCGUGGAGAGCCGCCAGGGCUCUAUCAAGGGGCUGGUGUACUCCAGCAACUUCCAGAACGUGAAGCAGCUGUACGCGCUGGUGUGCGAAACGCAGCGCUACUCCGCCGUGCUGGAUGCCGUGAUCUCCAGCGCCGGCCUCCUCAGUGCGAAGAAGCUGCAGCCGCACCUGGCCAAGGCCUCCCAGCUGCCUCGAUUUGUGCGUGUGAACACUCUCAAGACCUGCUCCGUUUAUGUAGUUAUUUCAAGAGACAAGGUUUCUCCUAUCAGGGUCGGGCUUCCAGGCUGGAUGGAGUGCCCUGGCGCGAUCUCGGCUCACCGCAACCUCUGCCUCCUGGGUUCAAGCGAUUCUCCUGCUUCAGCCUUCUGAGUAGCUGGGAUUAUGAAGGGGUGGCCUGCCCCUCCACAUCUGUGGGAUAUCUCAUCAGCCUUGAUGACUUACAAGCCCUCAAGGGGAAGCAUUUUCUCCUGGACUCCUUGAUGCCGGAGCUGCUGGUGUUUCCCGCCCAGACAGAUCUGCAUGAACACCCACUGUACCGGGCCGGACACCUCAUUCUGCAGGACAGGGCCAGCUGUCUCCCAGCCAUGCUGCUGGACCCCUGCCAGGCUCCCAUGUCAUCGAUGCCUGUGCCGCCCCAGGCAAUAAGACCAGUCACUUGGCUGCUCUUCUGAAGAACCAAGGGAAGAUCUUUGCCUUUGACCUGGAUGCCAAGCGGCUGGCAUCCAUGGCCACGCUGCUGGCCUGGGUUGGCGUCUCCUGCUGUGAGCUGGCUGAGGAGGACUUCCUGGCGGUCUCCCCCUUAGAUCCGCGCUAUCGUGAGGUCCACUAUGUCCUGCUGGAUCCUUCCUGCAGUGGCUCGGGUGAGAUGGUGAGAAGGCGUGGCUGAGGGACUCGGAGGUCCACAGCAGCUUAGACCUGGAGUCAUCUGUUUUGGUCUUAGUUCUGACACUUUAAUGGGCUUGGGACCCUGGAGCAAAAGUUCUCCUCUGUGAGGCAAGGAUUUCAGGAGCGAGGAUUUCAGGACUGAGGCAGCCUGUGAAGCUGUGUAACCGAGACACGCUUUUCCUUAGGUAUGCCGAGCAGACAGCUGGAGGAUCCCGGGGCAGGGACACCUAGCCCGGUGCGUCUGCAUGCCCUGGCAGGGUUCCAGCAGCGAGCCCUGUGCCACGCGCUCACUUUCCCUUCCCUGCAGCGGCUCGUCUACUCCAUGUGCUCCCUCUGCCAGGAGGAGAAUGAAGACAUGGUACCAGAUGCGCUGCAGCAGAACCCGGGCGCCUUCAGGCUAGCUCCCGCCCUGCCUGCCCGGCCCCACCGAGGCCUGAGCACGUUCCCGGGUGCCGAGCACUGCCUCCGGGCUUCCCCCAAGACCACGCUUAGCGGUGGCUUCUUCGUUGCUGUAAUUGAACGGGUCGAGAUGCCGAUGUGAGUGAGUGGGGGCAUGCUUGGGAGGCGCAGGAUGGUACUGGCACAUCUAACAUCUACACUUCUCUAGCUCAGCCUCACAGGCCAAAGCAUCAGCACCAGAACGCACACCCAGCCCAGCCCCAAAGAGAAAGAAGAGACAGCAAAGAGCCGCAGCCGGUGCUUGCACACCGCCUUGCACAUAGCAGAGGCUCCAGGCUGACUCCUUCCUGGUGGGAAAGGAAGAUGCCUGUCCUCUCCGUGGAGGACCCUGGGCCCUCACCGCAGGCAGCAGUUUGCAUUUUGAAAGGUUAUUGGGUCCCUUCCUCGGGCUGUGUUCUUGCUGGUGAGCAAAAGUGUUGCCUGCAGAAAUAAAAUGCAGAACGUACUCUA
ensembl:lncRNA NSUN5P1 NSUN5 pseudogene 1